CCUACGGGAGGCAGCAGUGGGGAAUAUUGGGCAAUGGAGGAAACUCUGACCCAGCAAUGCCGCGUGAAUGAAGAAUGUCUUCUGGUUGUAAAGUUCUUUAGUCAGGGAAGAAAUCCAUGACGGUACCUGAAGACUACGCUCCGGCUAACUACGUGCCAGCAGCCGCGUUAAUACGUAGGGAGCAAGCGUUGUUCGGAAUGACUGGGCGUAAAGGGUGCGUAGGCGGUUGUAAAAGUUAGAAGUGAAAUACCCAGGGCUUAACUCGGGGGCUGCUUCUAAAACUGUAGGACUUGAGUGCAGUAGAGGGUAGUGGAAUUCCUAGUGUAGCGGUGGAAUGCGUAGAUAUUAGGAGGAACACCAGAGGCGAAGGCGGCUAACUGGACUGCAACUGACGCUGAGGCACGAAAGUGUGGGGAGCAAACAGGAUUAGAUACCCUGGUAGUC
rnacentral:rRNA from 1 species